CUAUAAUUUUACAAAAUGGAUUUAUAUUAAAUGAGAGCAAUGCAUAGACAUUAGGUUAUCUCAUAAGUAGUGCGUCGUCGUCGGCUUUCAUAUUGCUAGAUGAAAAUAAACAAUUACCUCCGAGCGAUCGAUCAGUGAUGAAUUUUCUCAAAAACCAUAUUACUUAUGGAAUGACCAAUACGAUAUAUAGAAUAGAAUGAAUUUUUGGGAAAAGAGGUACUAAAAUUCAUUGUUCCUGUGACUCGUGGGUGCUGGGAGCACGAGGAAAGUCAGACUACCCUGCAUACCGGCUAGAAUAUCGCACACCUCGUUCACGCUCUUGCCACGCAUUUCCACGCCAUUUACUUCCAGAACCUCAUCGCCUUCGUGUAGGAGUCCAGACUUGUCUGCCGCUCCUCCGCGUACAACACGACCUUCGUAAACAUUAUUAUGGUUUUCGUACAAUUUUAUCGGAAAAAGAAACCAAAAUACCUAUUAUAACAGCGUCACCCUCGUUCCUAACCGUAGCACCUAAAGGUUCGUUAGUUUUCUCGAUUCUGAUAAUUUUAAUGUUGUCCACGACCCGGGAGCCUCUC